CACUGAAAAAAUGGAAGAAGGAGGGUUGUUCAAUUUACAAGUAUACAUUUUGUAUAGGCUACAUAAUUGAUUUAUAUUUCUCUCCAAAACAUGAUUAAAUCUUUUAAAAGUAUUAUAAUACUGAGGAAUUUUCAACCUACAUGUCUCUGUCAUUUUAAGAAGAAAGAAAAAAGUUAAGUUAUGUUUUAUCCGCCUCGAGGGGCGGUCUAUUGGCGGUCUAUUAGAAAACGGCUGUUAAAGACCUGCAGGCUCCGACACUUUCUCCCUCGCUACCUCGCUGGAUUUUGGCUACUCUGGACACGAUAAAGAUUAAUGCUGAAUUCAAACGGAAAAUGCCCCUGCAGUCCAGAUUUCUGUCUCAAUUAGAUGUUCACUCCGAGAAACUGAUCAGACUUUUUAAAAACAGAGGAGGACAGAUAGGCAGACGCCUAGGGGGCAUCAUUGCACCCAUGGAUGAAGUAAGUAUACUCUCUGGGGUGGAAACAACUUGUGCUUCUGCCUUAGGAGGAGGAUGUGGAUCUGGGAAGAGAAUGCAUAAUGAAGGGACUCUGCGUUUACCUGGACGAGGACCCGGAGAACCUGGUGAGAGAGUAUGUGGCAGCAGAUUCCCUCCAGGAAUCCAUUGAGGAAACCACCAUGGGUAUAUAAGUCUUGAAACUCAGAGAUGCCAGUGAAAAACCAGAGGACAUCGGCAUUGUCCUCGAGUCCCAGAUUGUGAUGCAGGAUCUAGACAAUGUUCCUUUAGCUGCUGCCAUGUUGUUUGGCCUGAUUUAUGCGCUGAACUUAAACUACCCUGCUGAGCUUAAGUACACCUUUUUGAAGUACUGCAGAAGGUGGUCAUGGAGCUUGAAGGAAGUGCACUUUCAAAAAAAGCCCAAGUCCUGAAGAACAGACUUUACCAGUGAACUGGCUAUCCAGGCUCUCCAGCUUGAUGGAGCUUGAAGACAUACUGUAUGCAUUAUUUCAACUCUUCCAGUUGUUGGACUUUUCUUUUGGGCAGGUGGGAGGCUUUUUUUAUUUCUUUUCUC